GCUACAGGCUGCAAUCCCAGUUUGCCUCCAAAAGGAACAGUGGCCAAUCAAAUGCUAUCAUCGAAUUAAGUGAUGAUGAGUCUGUAUCCCCAGGAGAAAGUGCUGAAGAUGGAGCCAACAGUGAAGAAGAAAAGUCUGAGGAAAUACUUGCUGAAGAAGGUUCUGAUAAUGAAACUCAGCUAGAAGGAUUUUCUGUUGAAGAUGCUGAAGAACGUUCUGAUAAUGAAAUGUAGCUAGAGG
rnacentral:lncRNA from 1 species